rnacentral:rRNA from 1 species
UACAGAGGCCUCGAGCGUUAGGCGGAAUCACUGGGCUUAAAGCGUGUGUAGGUGGAUGCCUAAGUACCUUGUGAAAUCCCACGGCUUAACCGUGGAACUGCUGGGUAUACUGGGUGUCUUGAGCCACUCAGGGGCUACCGGAACAAACGGUGGAGCGGUGAAAUGCGUAGAUAUCUGGAGGAACACCGGUGGCGAAGGCGGCGUUCUGGACUGCAACUGACACUGAGGAACGAAAGCCAGGGGAGCAAACGGG